rnacentral:misc_RNA from 1 species
GCGGCCGACUACAGGCGCCGUGUCCCUUCGUUGCUGUGACUUUCGUCACCGAUGCCUUUCAAGUGUUUGCGUGCUGGUACCCGAAAUACGGGAAUUGGUGAUAUGUACACGUUGCCUCGCGGUGGACGCCUUCGGGUGUGCUGCUGCGGCCCUAUGGCGCUUGCGGUGUUGCCUCGUUCCGUUUGCACGUUUACGUGCUUCGUGUGAUCAAGGCAACCUCGCUCCCGCUGUUGGUCUCGGAUGUUGCCCACGAUGAAGUCUCAUGGCCCUUUUUGGUUGCCUAGACCCGACCCUAUGAAGCUCUCCGAAAUUAGAACAACCGGAUCUGGUGUUGCCUCUACCUAUACACUCGGUGGUAGGAUACGCAACAUUUUGUGAAGGCUCUACAAAUUAAGAAGCUUCGCCCGCUCAAUCGCGACAACCGGCCCGGCGGUUGCUUCUGGCUUGACACGCAAGUGGACGGACGGACAACUACCGACGCUGGACGUCAACGAGGACGUGCUACCUGGUUGAUCCUGCCAGUAGUCAU